AUGCAGAAUAGCCUGUCAAUAUAGCCCAAGAUGACUGCCUAGCAUUUCAACCCCAAAAGGGAGCUAUGUUUUGAGGGAGGAGGGUAUGUAGGCAAGUCAUCCUUGGCUAAUAAACAAAGACUCUUCACU
rfam:Nicotiana attenuata strain TT chromosome 1, whole genome shotgun sequence.